GACGAACGCUGGCGGCGUGCCUAAUACAUGCAAGUAGAACGCUGAAGAGAGGAGCUUGCUCUUCUUGGAUGAGUUGCGAACGGGUGAGUAACGCGUAGGUAACCUGCCUUGUAGCGGGGGAUAACUAUUGGAAACGAUAGCUAAUACCGCAUAACAAUGGAUGACACAUGUCAUUUAUUUGAAAGGGGCAAUUGCUCCACUACAAGAUGGACCUGCGUUGUAUUAGCUAGUAGGUGAGGUAAUGGCUCACCUAGGCGACGAUACAUAGCCGACCUGAGAGGGUGGUCGGCCACACUGGGACUGGGACACGGCCCAGACUCCUACGGGAGGCAGCAGUAGGGAAUCUUCGGCAAUGGGGGCAAACCUGACCGAGCAACGCCGCGUGAGUGAAGAAGGUUUUCGGAUCGUAAAGCUCUGUUGUAAGUCGAGAACGGGUGUGAGAGUGGAAAGUUCACGCUGUGACGGUAGCUAACCAGAAAGGGACGGCUAACUACGUG
rnacentral:rRNA from 1 species